rnacentral:misc_RNA from 1 species
CGCACCUUGCGCUCCUUGGUAUUCCGAGGAGCAUGCCUGUUUGAGUGUCAUUAAAUUCUCAACCUUUCCAUUUUGUAAUGAAGUGCUUGAAAGGCUUGGAUUGUGGAGGUUGCAGGCUUGUACAAAGUCAGCUCCUUUGAAAUGCAUGAGUGGAGAUUUGUAGACUUCACCCUUGGUGUGAUAAUUAUCUACGCCUUGGUUGUCUACAGUGUGCUCUGCUGUCUAAUCGUCUGCAAAGACAAUACCAUCCAAUUUUGACCUCAAAUCAGGUAGGACUACCCGCUGAACUUAA